GGUUUGGGCUUGCUGCGCCCUCUACAGCUGUUGACGAGGAAGAGAAGAAAAAAGCUCGACUAGCCCGAUUUGCACCAUAUGCCAAACCUGAUACAGUGGAAGGAGAAAAGAGAAAAGCUAGGGCGAUCAGGUUUUCUAAUCCUCCGUCAAGUUCUUUAGCACAGGAGGCUCCUAUUGCUGGAAAGGCUGGUGCAGUGCUCUAAGUUGAAGUUACCGUAGUUAGAAGGUCCAAUGUCCUAACAGCAUGUGAUUCUCUUGAAGCUUCUUUAUAGUGUUUUUUUCUAACAUCAAAAUUCUAAGAGCAGUAUGCCAUCUCCAUAUGAAUUUCUGA